rnacentral:pre_miRNA from 1 species
UGGGGGAGCACAGGAUCCUGGGCUGUGUCCUCUCAGCGACCUAGGAUCUGGGGCCUAUGCUGCUGGAUUCGCACUCCUGGCCGUGGCCCCUG